AGUAAAGACAUGAUAAAAAUGGAGAUAAUUUGAGUCUUUUUGGUAGCUUUCCAGCUUUUACAUUUCUAUUCAUUCGUUUCUCUUCCUUCCGUUCCUAUCAGCUGCGGAGCGGAGGUGUGAUGAGGAUGAAAAAGAAAGGGCCAUUUCUCUCUCUUUCAUUUCCUUCUCUUUGUCAUGCAUUGGAGGAAAUGGAGAGAAAUGU
rnacentral:ribozyme from 1 species